rnacentral:SRP_RNA from 1 species
UAGGACGAAAGUGGACUGGGACGAAGGCAGGUCUUACUUUUUUCCGUGUCUGAAAGGUAUCGCAUGUGGUUGGAUUCAUA